rnacentral:rRNA from 1 species
GACGAACGCUGGCGGCGUGCCUAAUACAUGCAAGUCGAGCGAGCGGAACUAACAGAUUUACUUCGGUAAUGACGUUAGGAAAGCGAGCGGCGGAUGGGUGAGUAACACGUGGGGAACCUGCCCCAUAGUCUGGGAUACCACUUGGAAACAGGUGCUAAUACCGGAUAAGAAAGCAGAUCGCAUGAUCAGCUUUUAGAAGGCGGCGUAAGCUGUCGCUAUGGGAUGGCCCCGCGGUGCAUUAGCUAGUUGGUAAGGUAAAGGCUUACCAAGGCGAUGAUGCAUAGCCGAGUUGAGAGACUGAUCGGCCACAUUGGGACUGAGACACGGCCCAAACUCCUACGGGAGGCAGCAGUAGGGAAUCUUCCACAAUGGACGCAAGUCUGAUGGAGCAACGCCGCGUGAGUGAAGAAGGUUUUCGGAUCGUAAAGCUCUGUUGUUGGUGAAGAAGGAUAGAGGUAGUAACUGGCCUUUAUUUGACGGUAAUCAACCAGAAAGUCACGGCUAACUACGUGCCAGCAGCCGCGGUAAUACGUAGGUGGCAAGCGUUGUCCGGAUUUAUUGGGCGUAAGGCGAGCGCAGGCGGAAGAAUAAGUCUGAUGUGAAAGCCCUCGGCUUAACCGAGGAACUGCAUCGGAAACUGUUUUUCUUGAGUGCAGAAGAGGAGAGUGGAACUCCAUGUGUAGCGGUGGAAUGCGUAGAUAUAUGGAAGAACACCAGUGGCGAAGGCGGCUCUCUGGUCUGCAACUGACGCUGAGGCUCGAAAGCAUGGGUAGCGAACAGGAUUAGAUACCCUGGUAGUCCAUGCCGUAAACGAUGAGUGCUAAGUGUUGGGAGGUUUCCGCCUCCCAGUGCUGCAGCUAACGCAUUAAGCACUCCGCCUGGGGAGUACGACCGCAAGGUUGAAACUCAAAGGAAUUGACGGGGGCCCGCACAAGCGGUGGAGCAUGUGGUUUAAUUCGAAGCAACGCGAAGAACCUUACCAGGUCUUGACAUCUAGUGCCAUUUGUAGAGAUACAAAGUUCCCUUCGGGGACGCUAAGACAGGUGGUGCAUGGCUGUCGUCAGCUCGUGUCGUGAGAUGUUGGGUUAAGUCCCGCAACGAGCGCAAUCCUUGUUAUUAGUUGCCAGCAUUAAGUUGGGCACUCUAAUGAGACUGCCGGUGGCAAACCGGAGGAAGGUGGGGAUGACGUCAAGUCAUCAUGCCCCUUAUGACCUGGGCUACACACGUGCUACAAUGGGCAGUACAACGAGAAGCGAGCCUGCGAAGGCAAGCGAAUCUCUGGAAGCUGUUCUCAGUUCGGACUGCAGUCUGCAACUCGACUGCACGAAGCUGGAAUCGCUAGUAAUCGCGGAUCAGCACGCCGCGGUGAAUACGUUCCCGGGCCU